GUGUCCUGAGAAGGACAGAUGGCUCUUCCAUGGUCUCGUCGGCGCUGAGACUCAGAGCGUGGGCUUCAAUGCUUGCAAAGGCUCAGUUUCAAGAACGGAAUACCUGGUCAUGUAUAUCAUCAGAACAAUUGCUCAUCUAUCAGCUAGUCCUUCCAGGCCAUGCCAUGUGAGAAGGUGCAAGUUUGAAGAAUCCAGCCACCAUCACACUUUCCUCUUGUUCGCUGCCAUCCGUGACUUAAGCAUGGGACUGGAAUGUUCAUGAGUCACAGGCUGGGUUUCUGAUUGGCAUUGAGAUCAAGCAAGAAUUUCUUAAAAACCAAAAUGGCUCAUAAGAGCAGAUGUGUAUUGAUUCUGCUAUGGAAAGAAUGGCCCAGUGUUUAAUGACACAGUGCCUAACCUUGUUUAUAAGAAAAUCAUCACCAAAGCUGCUAGACUGAUUUUAUUUUAGUAAUCUGAGUUGGUUUAUAACUCAUUAACACUUAUGAGACACUUAUUAUGUAGAUGGUACUGUACUAUUUGGGGGUGGAGGGGGAAAGGAAAGAAAAAUAGCUUUCAAAUAGUUUCCUAUCACAUAGUAAUCAUAACUUUUAGUAAGGCAAGACAAAGAUAAAUCAAGCAAUUAAAGGGAAAGAACUUUUCUGGGAACAAUAAGGUCAAACUAAAUGGGGAUUUCAUUCAUUCUGUGCCUUUCUGAAUGCCCUUCCCUGAUUAUUGACCUAGAAAUAAAAUUGAAAUUGGGCUAUUUCUUGCUUUCUUGCUUUGACAUAUGCACUUUGUAUUACAUACUUAAAAAUCUAUGGACAAUAUCUACAAAGGAAUCAAUUAUCUUUCUGUCACAGCUUCUUUAGUUUGUUGGCUGAGGGUUUUGUUUGUUUAUGAGGUGGGAAGGUGGCAUUAUGAAAAAGACAAGGGGAAUUAGUUUAGCUGGUGACCAAUAAAAUAGCUUUGUCUUUUCCAGCCAUAGCAAAGAUGAAUAGGAAUACAGAAAAUAAAUUUAGAGUUGGAAGGUAGAUUAAAGAUAACAUUGUCCAAGGAAUGCUGAUGGUCUUCAGUGCAAAUUUACCUCUGAGGUGUGUUUUGUUUUGUUUUCUCUUUUUAAAAAUACACCCUUUGGUCUAUCAUAUCCCUGAUCUUUGAAGUCCUUUGAGUCUAUGAUCCAUCAUAGUCCAUCACAGUUUUUGGAAGACCAGAUUUACAAAAUGAAUUCCUCCAAAGUCGUACGGAUCAAAGAGUGGCAAAUAUUUAGCAAUACCACAGGUCUUCUGUGGAGUAGAAACACUGGUGAUGUCUCCCAGUCUUUUUCCAACUCGGAGUCACUCAAAAU
rnacentral:lncRNA from 1 species